rnacentral:lncRNA from 1 species
CCAAAUCAAAAUGAGCCAAAGUGGUUGCCAAUUACAAGCCAAAGAAAAGUCCAUGUUAAACUACGUAAUAACAAUGCCAAUCAAAUGCAUAAGCAAGCCCAAAUCAUUGGCCAAGCAAUUCCCAAUAAAAUCUAAGUCAAACUUAGCCCAAACAACCCAAAACCUCACUCUGACAAUUUAAUGAACACCUUGUGUGCACUGCCCCAACUCACUUUUCCAAGUCUCUGCCUUAGGUAUAUUCAAACCCAAAAGUUCCUCAAAGCGGACCAAUACAAUCAAAAAGAACAUUACCAGA